UACGGGGGGGGCAAGCGUUGUUCGGAAUUACUGGGCGUAAAGGGUCUGUAGGUGGCUUGCUAAGUCAGAUGUGAAAUCCCUCAGCUUAACUGGGGAACUGCGUCUGAGACUGGCGAGCUUGAGGGCAGGAGAGGAACGCGGAAUUCCAGGUGUAGCGGUGAAAUGCGUAGAUAUCUGGAGGAACACCGGUGGCGAAGGCGGCGUUCUGGACUGCAUCUGACACUGAAAGACGAAAGCCAGGGGAGCAAACGGG
rnacentral:rRNA from 1 species